CAGAGACUGCAAGCGUUAUUCGGAUUCACUGGGCGUAAAGGGUGCGCAGGCGGCCGGGUGUGUCAGAUGUGAAAUCCCGAGGCUUAACCUCGGAACUGCGUCUGAAACUACUCGGCUAGAGUAUUGGAGAGGGUAACGGAAUUCACGGUGUAGCAGUGAAAUGCGUAGAUAUCGUGAGGAACACCAGAGGCGAAGGCGGUUACCUGGACAAUUACUGACGCUCAGGCACGAAAGCAUGGGGAGCAAAAGGGAUUAGAUACCCCUGUAGUCCAUGCCCUAAACGGUGCACACUAGGUCUUAGCGGAUUCGACCCCACUAGGGCCCAAGCUAACACGUUAAGUGUGCCGCUUGAGGACUACGGUCGCAAGACUA
rnacentral:rRNA from 1 species